rnacentral:tRNA from 1 species
AUUCUAGUAGUUUAUAAAAAACUUAAGAUUGUGGAGCUUAAGAUGAGGUCUCUCCUAGAAUA